rnacentral:rRNA from 1 species
ACGAACGCUGGCGGCGUGCUUAACACAUGCAAGUCGAACGGAAAGGCCCUUCGGGGUACUCGAGUGGCGAACGGGUGAGUAACACGUGGGUGAUCUGCCCUGCACUUUGGGAUAAGCCUGGGAAACUGGGUCUAAUACCGAAUAUGACCACGCGCUUCAUGGUGUGUGGUGGAAAGCUUUUGCGGUGUGGGAUGGGCCCGCGGCCUAUCAGCUUGUUGGUGGGGUAAUGGCCUACCAAGGCGACGACGGGUAGCCGGCCUGAGAGGGUGACCGGCCACACUGGGACUGAGAUACGGCCCAGACUCCUACGGGAGGCAGCAGUGGGGAAUAUUGCACAAUGGGCGCAAGCCUGAUGCAGCGACGCCGCGUGAGGGAUGACGGCCUUCGGGUUGUAAACCUCUUUCAAUAGGGACGAAGCGCAAGUGACGGUACCUAUAGAAGAAGGACCGGCCAACUACG